GACGAACGCUGGCGGCGUGCUUAACACGUGCAAGUCGAACGGAAAGGCCCUGCUUUUGUGGGGUGCUCGAGUGGCGAACGGGUGAGUAACACGUGAGUAACCUGCCCUUGACUUUGGGAUAACUUCAGGAAACUGGGGCUAAUACCGGAUAGGAGCUCCUGCUGCAUGGUGGGGGUUGGAAAGUUUCGGCGGUUGGGGAUGGACUCGCGGCUUAUUAGCUUGUUGGUGGGGUAGUGGCUUACCAAGGCUUUGACGGGUAGCCGGCCUGAGAGGGUGACCGGCCACAUUGGGACUGAGAUACGGCCCAGACUCCUACGGGAGGCAGCAGUGGGGAAUAUUGCACAAUGGGCGGAAGCCUGAUGCAGCAACGCCGCGUGCGGGAUGACGGCCUUCGGGUUGUAAACCGCUUUCGCCUGUGACGAAGCGUGAGUGACGGUAAUGGGUAAAGAAGCACCGGCUAACUACGUG
rnacentral:rRNA from 1 species